rnacentral:lncRNA from 1 species
UUAAAAGACCUGUUUGAUGAAGCAGGUCGAGUGGAGCGUGUUUAAGCCAGCAACUGAGUUGCAGUUCGUUGCUUGAAGGAUAUUUUUACGAUAAGGUUAAUUGCCUUAAGGUUACGAAUUGUUAAGUGUUUGUUGCUUAGGGCUGAAGUGAUCCGAAGCGGUUAAGUCAAAGUUUGUACCUACCGUUUUCCUAAGUCAUUUCUUUGAAAUGAAACAAGCAAGGAAAGUUGAAGCGAGUGAAGAAGUUAUAAAGGGAAAAGCGUAAACCUUUGUCAUUAACAGAUAGCAAUGAAUAACAGUUUAGAGCAUAUAUACGAGGGGACAUAAAAGUUUAUUACAAGUUAUAAUACAAGGGAAAGCACAAGAGGUGGC